rnacentral:rRNA from 1 species
AACGAACGCUGGCGGCAGGCUUAACACAUGCAAGUCGAGCGAAGACUUCGGUCUAGCGGCGGACGGGUGAGUAACGCGUGGGAACAUACCCUUUGCUACGGAACAACUCCGGGAAACUGGAGCUAAUACCGUAUACGUCCUUCGGGAGAAAGAUUUAUCGGUGAUGGAUGAGCCCGCGUUGGAUUAGCUAGUUGGUGGGGUAAUGGCCUACCAAGGCGACGAUCCAUAGCUGGUCUGAGAGGAUGAUCAGCCACACUGGGACUGAGACACGGCCCAGACUCCUACGGGAGGCAGCAGUGGGGAAUAUUGGACAAUGGGCGAAAGCCUGAUCCAGCCAUGCCGCGUGAGUGAUGAAGGCCCUAGGGUUGUAAAGCUCUUUCACCGGUGAAGAUAAUGACGGUAACCGGAGAAGAAGCCCCGGCUAACUUCGUGCCAGCCGCCGCCGUAACAC